GGGGGCGAAAGGAUUUCGACGAGGGUUCAUGAGGUGACAGUUGCAUGCCGAGGACUCCGCUGGCCUCGUAAAAAAGCGGAACACCACAUAAUCGCCAACGAUUAUGAAGUAGCCCUGGCCGCCUAACAACCCGGCCAGCGUCCUCCCAUCACUUGCCCACGGUGGUGGUGCAGGGCGUAACGAUGUGGGAUAGCCUUCUUCUUCCCACGCCUGGAGGAAGAA
rnacentral:tmRNA from 1 species